CGCACGGGUGAGUAACGCGUAUCCAACCUGCCGUCUACUCUUGGACAGCCUUCUGAAAGGAAGAUUAAUACAAGAUGGCAUCAUGAGUCCGCAUGUUCACAUGAUUAAAGGUAUUCCGGUAGACGAUGGGGAUGCGUUCCAUUAGAUAGUAGGCGGGGUAACGGCCCACCUAGUCUUCGAUGGAUAGGGGUUCUGAGAGGAAGGUCCCCCACAUUGGAACUGGGACACGGUCCAA
rnacentral:rRNA from 1 species